UAGGGAAUCUUCCGCAAUGGGCGAAAGCCUGACGGAGCAACGCCGCGUGAGUGAUGAAGGUCUUCGGAUCGUAAAACUCUUUUAUUUGGGAAGAACAAAUGUGUAAGUAACUAUGCACGUCUUGACGGUACCUAAUCAGCAAGCCCCGGCUAACUACGUGCCAGCAGCCGGGGUAAUACGUAGGUGGCAAGCGUUAUCCGGAAUUAUUGGGCGUAAAGCGCGCGUAGGCGGUUUUUUAAGUCUGAUGUGAAAGCCGGCGGCUCAACCGUGGAGGGUCAUUGGAAACUGGAAAGCUAGAGUGCAGAAGAGGAGAGUGGAAUUCCAUGUGUAGCGGUGAAAUGCGCAGAGAUAUGGAGGAACACCAGUGGCGAAGGCGACUUUAUGGACUAUAACUGACGCUGAUGUGCGAAAGCGUGGGGAUCAAACAGG
rnacentral:rRNA from 1 species